rnacentral:misc_RNA from 1 species
GAUGAAGAACGGAGCGAAAUGCGAUAAGUAAUGUGAAUUGCAGAAUUCAGUGAAUCAUCGAAUCUUUGAACGCACCUUGCGCCUUUUGGUAUUCCGAAAGGCACACCUGUUUGAGCGUCAUGAAUACCUCAAUCUCCAUCUUGUCUUCGGAUUGAUGGGUGACUUGGAUGUUGAGCCCUGCUGGUAUGCUAUAUCAGCUGGCUUUAAACUUAUUAGCCGGCUCUGUACUGGAUCGGUUUGACUCGACGUGAUAAUAUUAUCGUUGAGGAUGAAUGUCUCAUGCAGCCGGAAAGUAUCAAAGCAGCUUCUAGCUUGCCUUUAGUGCACUUUUACAUUUUAGACCUCAGAUCAGGUGGGACUACCCGCUGAACUUAAGCAUAUCAAUAAGCGGAGGA